rnacentral:tRNA from 1 species
CGCGGGGUAGAGAAGCUGGUAUCUCGUCUGGCUCAUAACCAGAAGCUCGACGGUUCGAGUCCGUCUCCCGCUAC